UACGUAGGGUGCAAGCGUUGUCCGGAAUUACUGGGCGUAAAGAGCUCGCAGGUGGUUUGUCGCGUCGUCUGUGAAAUUCCGGGGCUUAACUCCGGGCGUGCAGGCGAUACGGGCAAACUGGAGUGCUGUAGGGGAGACUGGAAUUCCUGGUGUAGCGGUGAAAUGCGUAGAUAUAUGGAGGAACACCGGUGGCGAAGGCAGGUCUCUGGGCAGUAACUGACACUGAGGCGCGAAAGCGUGGGGAGCGAACAGG
rnacentral:rRNA from 1 species